rnacentral:rRNA from 2 species
CUGAAAGCAUCUAAGCAUGAAGCCCCCCUCAAGAUGAGAUUUCCCAACUUCGGUUAUAAGAUCCCUCAAAGAUGAUGAGGUUAAUAGGUUCGAGGUGGAAGCGUAGCGAUACGUGGAGCUGACGAAUACUAAUCGAUCGAAGACUUAAUCAAUUU